UCUGUCAAUAAACUGGCUUCUGAAUCUGGAGAGAACAAAAUUCAAACAGAGCUGAAAUGGAAGGCUGUGUACUGUACUGACUAGAUAAACAGCCUGUGCCUGGUACGGAGAGCGAGAGAAGGAGACAGAUGUCUAAUAUCUGGUUUACUUUGUAUUUGAAUCAAUUUAUUUUCUACUUUUUCCAGUAUGGAAUGGAGGUUUGGAUCAGUGCUGAGUCAUGUUAGAGUCAAAGCCCUCACAAACAUUGCCUGAUGGCCGCUGCACAGUGUUGUCCUUUGUGGUCAGGACACGUAUGGGUCUCGGCAGAAGGUGAUCUCUGCGCUCAUAAUCCUCACCAUGCCAGUGCUAACAGGGACCAGGAGAUGAGCUGGGAUUCGGUCAGCAUUCCCUAACAGUCCUUAACUUUGACUGACAGUAAGUUAAUGAAACAAGAAAUUAGCUGAUACAGAGCGGACAGUGUCCUCUGAUGGUGAAAUGGGGAAUUUGCAUAUGAGGGAAAGGCCAAUUUGGAAAGUGAAUCGAACAUGUAAAUGUAAAAUACUUUUCAGACUCUUCUGGAACAGUGCUUUGUGUACCGCAUAGAAUCUGCUUUGUUUCCAGUGAAAUUACGGUGACAGUCUGUGACAAUAAUGGGCAUCUGAACAAUUCAAAGUGGGGAAAAAAAAAUGUUUCUAUCUAAAGUGCAUGAAAGUCUUCGGUGGAACCAAAAAAAUAAAUGGUGACAUCAUCUCAUUCAGAGCCAGUUUCAGUAAAAAUCUAAAUAAAACAAGUGUGACCCCUUCCUGCGUGACUCACUGUGGUGGAUAACUCAAACAGUG